AGCCACCUUCUUUUAAGCCAGACCUUACAAAGAUUUGCAAAAGUAUAAAACAAGGCUACUCUAUGUUUUUUGUUUUGAGAAAUAUCAGUAUUUUUCAUAAAAACAUUUAUGUUAACAUGUGUGGUAGUUUUGGAACAUGCCCACCCUUUCUCCUCCCUUCAAGAGGUGAAGCCUCAUCCCCCUACCUUUGAACGAUUUAGUGACUCAUCUCUAAUGAACACAAUAUGGCAGAAGGGAUGAUAUGUGACUUAAAAGUCUAGAUCAUAAAAGGCAUUGUGGUUUCCCCCUUGCUCUCUCGGAUCACUCACUCUGAAGAAGGCCAGCCGCCAUGUUCCGAAGACACUCAAGCAGCCCUGUGAAGAGGGUUAUAUGGCAAGAAUCGGAGGCCUCCUGCCAAGAGCCAUGCGAGUGCGCCAUCUUGGACACAGCUAUUCCAGCUUCAUUAGGCCUUGGGGUGUCUGCAACCUUGUGAGAGACCCUAAGCUAGAACCACCCAAGCUCCGUUGGCCCCAGAUUCUUGAUCCACGGAAAUUGUGUGAGACAGAUGAAUGAUUUUUAUAAUUAAGAGAAGAGAAACUUCCCUUUUGAAAAUCAUCAAAAGUGAAAGUCAGACCUGUAUUUCCUUUGGAUGAGUCGACCGUUUAAGCACAACGUGCGGAGGCCAGAUGUCCGUCAGUGCACCUGCGUGCCGGGGAGAGGUCCGAAGGGCAGAUGGUGGAUGAGGGGCCAGUAGCCACAACACCUGCCCCCCCAACAACCUCAGCCAGACUGGCUCUUUCGUGCAUGUUACACAUUGAGUUUCUGCAUAAUUUCACAUAAAAGUUUCCACUGCUUGAAAAAAAAAAAAAGUUUGAAAACCUUUACCGUGAGAAUGAAUAACAGUUGAAGAGUUAAAAUUAGGCUAUAGAAGAACCACUCAAACUUUUUUUGGGAAUGUGAACAGAGUUUCCAUAAAGAAAAUCCUGCACAUUCUGAGAGAACAGAAGCCCUGACAACUUAACAAAUGUUCGGUGGUUUCAACAGAGGCUCGCUCAUGUGGCCAUGGAAAAGGUGACAGCUAGGGAUGAAGAGCUUAUCCGGGGACCCCUCCGAUCCAAAGGGCCCAAGAGGCCAGCAGAAGCAGCAGGGCCUUAAGGCCCUGGGAGAGACAGAUCAGAACCACAGAGCACAAGCAGGAGAGAGGCAAAGAGAGAGGGAGACAUAGAAUCCGAAGCAGGCUCCAGGCUCUGAGCGGCCAGCACAGAGCCCGACGCGGGGCUCAAAUCCACGAACCAUAAGAUCAUGGCCUGAGCCGAAGUCGGACGCUUAACCAACUGAGCCACCCUGGCUCCCCAGCUCCAGGACAACUUUCUGAGGCAGGUGUAUUAUAUCAUCUUCAUUUUCACAGACAGGGAAACUGAGGCCCCAAGAAGUUUAGUAACCUUCCCACGAUUGCACAGCUGGGACACAGCAGAGGUGGGAUCUGAAUCCUGGAGAAAUGGCUCUGGAGUGCCUACUCUUGGCCACGACACCGCACAGCCUGUCAGUAAACGCCAGCUUGUCUAUUCAGUUACUGCUCUCACUGGCGGUGCAGUGGGGUGCAGAGAAGGCUCACAGACAGCUCCCCAAGACUCAAGACCCAACCCCUAGGGUUACAGGAGUCAGGGGAAAGAGUGUUCCAGACAGAGGGGUCUGCAUAUACAAAGGCGGGGAGGUAAGAGAACGCAUGGCGUAUGGGAAGAACGGGAGAUGGCUGGAGGAUGGGGCGAUGCUGGGCAGAGGGCGCCUGAGGGUGGGAUUCAGGCAGGUCCAAGGCCAAGGAGGGUCCCUGGUGCCCGGACGUUAGCCUGAAGGCAAUGCAGAGCCAGAGAAGGAAAUACAGAGAGUCCCUCCCCAACGCUGCCUUUCUCUGGGUCGACUCACAUUGCCCUGGCAGGUGGAGAAGGUUGACUCAGCCACUGCUGUGAGCUGAAGGGAGCGGGGGAGCUGCCACCCCCAUUCCCAUCCCGCCGCGAGCUGACGCCCCUGCAGCCUCCCCAACACCAGCUCUACCGGCACAUAGAAACCAUCGCAGCCAGCUGGGAGCAGCGGGCUCUGUCAUGCUGCCAGGGAGCUGAGCGUAGCCCGGCCAGACUGCCGGCUGCCUGAUGGAAGCUUCACGCCCCUGCCCAAACCCAGCCGCCUGAGGACCCCGGUGGGACCGCUCACCCCACCCCACGGCCCACCACAGCGCCCAGUAUGCUGGCCGUCCAUCCUCGCUCGGCUGGCCCCAGGGGCCAGCACUUUGCUCAUUCAAAUUGAAUACACAUGUCCUUGCCUCCGGCUCUUCCAUUUUCCCACGUCCGUCCUUGAGACACAGCUGCCUGUGUGCACGGAACGUUCACUUGGGCCAAAGCAAAACUACUGAGGAAGCCUCCACGCCUAUCAAUGAGGAACCAGUUCAAAAAUUCUGCUGAUGGGGUGCCUAAGUGGCUCAGUCGGUUGAGCGUCUGACUUCGGCUCAGGUCAUGAUCUCGCGGUUCGGGAGUUCGAGCCCCGCGUCGGGCUCUGGGCUGACAGCUCGGAGCCUGGAGCCUGUUUCGGAUUCUGUGUCUGCCUCU